UACGGAGGGGGCUAGCGUUGUUCGGAAUUAUUGGGCGUAAAGCGCACGUAGGCGGCUUUGUAAGUUAGAGGUGAAAGCCCGGGGCUCAACUCCGGAAUUGCCUUUAAGACUGCAUCGCUAGAAUUGUGGAGAGGUGAGUGGAAUUCCGAGUGUAGAGGUGAAAUUCGUAGAUAUUCGGAAGAACACCAGUGGCGAAGGCGACUCACUGGACACAUAUUGACGCUGAGGUGCGAAAGCGUGGGGAGCAAACAGG
rnacentral:rRNA from 1 species